UCACAAUCAAGAUAUUAAUUUUGAUGGAAACUUUACUAUCCUUAACUAGAUUUUAACCCGCGGUAUACCGCGGGACGAUUUAUUUUUUAAAAGUAAUAUAUAUUAAAACUUGCAAAUUUUAUUUUUAUAAUAUAUUAUAUUUUACAGUUUAUAGUUGUUAUUAAGUAACGUUAUACCACAAAUCCAUGAGACAAUUGUAAAAAAACUGAAGUUUUAACCCCUAUUAAAACAGCAUAUUAAUAAUAUUUUAAAAUUUUAUAAAUACUGAUUCAAAUACAUCCACCAUAUAACUCAAUUCUAAAAUAAAACCCGUUCUGUAAUUUCUUUACCCGUUCCGUGAUUUAUUUUAAAGUAGUAAUUUUUAAAAUUUAAGAAUAAU
rnacentral:sRNA from 1 species